rnacentral:tRNA from 1 species
CAUGUCGUAUUUCUCGUUCGGGGAGUGGAUNNCCGGCCUGUCACGCCGGGGGUCGCGGGUUCGAGCCCCGUCAACCGCGCCA